GCCUUCGUGGUGUAGUGGUUAUGCACGCUGAACCGGGAUUUCAGAGGUCCCUGGUUCGAUUCCCGGCGAAGGCG
rnacentral:tRNA from 1 species